UGAUGCAGCCAUGCCGCGUGUGUGAAGAAGGACCGUUCGGGUUGUAAAGCACUUUCAGUAGGGAGGAAGGUAGUGUAGUUAACACCUGCAUUAUUUGACGUUACCUACAGAAGAAGCACCGGCUAACUCCGUGCCAGCAGCCGCGGUAAUACGGAGGGUGCGAGCGUUAAUCGGAAUUACUGGGCGUAAAGCGCAUGCAGGCGGCCUGUUAAGUCAGAUGUGAAAGCCCGGGGCUUAACCUCGGAAUUGCAUUUGAAACUGGCAGGCUAGAGUCUUGUAGAGGGGGGUAGGAAUUUCAGGUGUAGCGGUGAAAUGCGUAGAGAUCUGAAGGAAUACCAGUGGCGAAGGCGGCCCCCUCGGACAAAGACUGACGCUCAGAUGCGAAAGCGUGGGGAGCAAACAGGAUUAGAUACCCUGGUAG
rnacentral:rRNA from 1 species